rnacentral:rRNA from 1 species
AGAGAGAGCUUGCUUUCUCAAGCGAGUGGCGAACGGGUGAGUAACGCGUGAGGAACCUGCCUCAAAGAGGGGGACAACAGUUGGAAACGACUGCUAAUACCGCAUAAGCCCACGGCUCGGCAUCGAGCAGAGGGAAAAGGAGCAAUCCGCUUUGGGAUGGACUCGCGUCCGAUUAGCUAGUUGGUGAGGUAACGGCCCACCAAAGCGACGAUCAGUAGCCGGCCUGAGAGGGUGAACGGCCACAUUGGGACUGAGACACGGCCCAAACUCC